UAGGAGAAACAUAAUGCAAUUUAUUGUGGGCACCUAAUGGUGUGCAGUUAAUCACCAACGUGACCUAAUCAUCAAGUCAUGAGAACCUUUGAGUGGACCCCGCAUUUUUGUACUUCUCGUGAAGGCAGACUCCCCAGUGACCUCCUUGCUGUAUUCACCAUGAUUCAAGAGAUAGAAAGCUGUCCUACCGACUUCUGAAGCAGGGUGUCUGCGUAUUGAUAGAGUCACCAGGAGCAGAGGGCUGAUCCUUAUUCUCAAGUCAUUCAACAUUUUCUGAGCUUGUCUUCAAAUUCUGGAUAUCUCUUAUUUGAUUUCCUGAGAACUUUUAAAGUCCCACAGGCUCCAGAUGGUGAAAAUACAGAGAAACCCUCAACUUUGGAGUCCAAAGACCAGGAUUUUAAUGUCAGCUUGCCACAUCUUGGCUCUAUAAUCUCAAAGCAGGAAACCAGAAAGCAAAUCUAGGUAAGAUGUGCUACUCAGAACAUGGCUCCAGGUGAUGACUGAGACAUUCUUAAGAAACCUUGCUGAUGUGUCUGACCCUCUCUUCCCUGA